GACGAACCGUGCGAACGUUAUUCGGAUUCAUUGGGCUUAAAGGGCGCGUAGGCGGACAGGCAAGUCAGGGGUGAAAUCCCACGGCUCAACCCGUGGAAGUGCCUUUGAUACUGCCGGUCUCGAGGGAGGUAGGGGCGUGCGGAACUUCCGGGUGGAGCGGUGAAAUGCGUAGAUAUCGGAAGGAACACCGGUGGCGAAAGCGGCGCGCUGGACCUCGUUCUGACGCCUGAGGCGCGAAAGC
rnacentral:rRNA from 1 species